UGGAGGGAUGGUUAGAGACCAUUUCUGAUGGAGAUAUAUUUCAAACUAGUUAACCUCAGUUUCUUCCUAGAUUUUGUAAGCAGGCAUGAGAUGCCCUAAGUAGUAGAUUCCUCCUUUUAAAGGAUCUUUUUGUAGGUGAUCUGGAAGAUGGAUUGACAGGACGGGGAUAAAGACUUGGAUACAAAGCAAGAUACUUUACAGCAGACCAGAUGGGAUUCUUGCAAGCAGCAUAUGGUUGGAUUAUGUUUUCUGAUCCAUUCCCCAACUCUGUGCCUUUUGAUGGGUUCCAGAUGCCAUCAGGAUGCUGGCCAGGCUUCCCUGGACUGAAGACCCCACCAAUGUGUCCUGGAGCUCUGCUUCCCCAGAGACCCACCCUACUAGAGAAAGAGAGAGGCAUACUGGGAGUAUGGACCAACCAGUCAACGUCCAUGUUCAGUGGGGAAGCAAUUAAAGAAGCCAGACCUUCCACCUUCUGCAACCCACAAUGACCCUGGGUCCAUGCUCCCAGAGGGAUAGAGAAUGGGAAAGCUAUCAGGGGAGGGAACGGGAUAUGGAGAUUGGGUGGUGGGAAUUGUGUGGAGCUGUACCCCUCCUAUCCUACAGUUUUGUUAAUUUAUCCUUUCUUAAAUAAAAAAUAAGUUAAAAAAAUAAAUAAAUAAAUUCAUCAAUCCCAUUUAAAAAAGUGGAAGAAUGACAAAGAAAAUUCUGACAAAGAAACAAUAACUGACCCUCUUA